UUUUCUGGGAUUUGUAGCUGCCUUCAAGUGCAAUUGGAAACGUCGAGAUCUAUAAACGAUCUGACGGAAAACAGUAAUUGUGAAAUAUAUGGUCCACUUGGG